GAGUUUGAUCAUGGCUCAGAUUGAACGCUGGCGGCAUGCCUUACACAUGCAAGUCGAACGGUAACAGGUCUUCGGAUGCUGACGAGUGGCGAACGGGUGAGUAAUACAUCGGAACGUGCCCGAUCGUGGGGGGAUAACGGAGCGAAAGCUUUGCUAAUACCGCAUACGAUCUACGGAUGAAAGCAGGGGACCGCAAGGCCUUGCGCGGACGGAGCGGCCGAUGGCAGAUUAGGUAGUUGGUGGGAUAAAAGCUUACCAAGCCGACGAUCUGUAGCUGGUCUGAGAGGACGACCAGCCACACUGGGACUGAGACACGGCCCAGACUCCUACGGGAGGCAGCAGUGGGAAUUUGGACAAUGGGCGAAAGCCUGAUCCAGCCAUGCCGCGUGCAGGAUGAAGGCC
rnacentral:rRNA from 1 species